UACGAAGGGGACUAGCGUUGUUCGGAAUCAUUGGGCGUAAAGCGCACGUAGGCGGAUUUGUAAGUCAGGGGUGAAAUCCCGGGGCUCAACCUCGGAACUGCCUUUGAUACUGCAAGUCUUGAGUCCGAUAGAGGUGGGUGGAAUUCCUAGUGUAGAGGUGAAAUUCGUAGAUAUUAGGAAGAACACCGGUGGCGAAGGCGGCCCACUGGAUCGGUACUGACGCUGAGGUGCGAAAGCGUGGGGAGCAAACAGG
rnacentral:rRNA from 1 species